rnacentral:rRNA from 1 species
GAUUAUGGCUACAGAAUGAACGCUGGCGGCAUGGAUUAGGCAUGCAAGUCGAACGUACUCCCUUCGGGGAGAAAGUGGCGAAAGGGUGAGUAACACGUGAGCAACCUGCCUCCGGAUCCGGAAUAAUCCAGGGAAACUUGGUCUAAAACCGGAUGAAGACAUUUGGGCCGCAUGGUCUGGUGUUAAAAUAUUUAUAGUCCGGAGAGGGGCUCGCGGCCCAUUAGCUUGUUGGCGGGGUAAUGGCCCACCAAGGCUACGACGGGUAGGUGGUCUGAGAGGAUGGUCACCCACACUGGGACUGAGACACUGCCCAGACUCCUACGGGAGGCUGCAGUCGAGAAUCUUCCGCAAUGGGCGCAAAGCCUGACGGAGCGAUGCCGCGUGAGGGAUGAAGGCCUUCGGGUUGUAAACCUCUGUCAUCCGGGACGAAAACAAUGACGGUACCGGAAAAGGAAGCCACGGCUAACCACGUGCCAGCCGCCGC